rnacentral:pre_miRNA from 1 species
UGGCUACAAAAUAACUUAUUUUAUAGCCACUUUGAGUUACGAUAAUUACUAUAUUAAUUUACAAAAUUAUAGUAACUUCUUACUAAGUGGUUUACUAUAACAUUACGGUAAAUAUCCCCAUGUGUUAUAGUAACUCAACUAUCGUAAAUAUGUAUACAUAUUAUCGUAAAUUAAUAUAUAAAAUUAUCGUAAAUGGAGGUGGCUACAGAAUAACAUAUUUGUAGCUA